rnacentral:rRNA from 1 species
UCCUUCGGUUUCACGCUUGAAUCGGAAUUACUGGGCGUAAAGCGUGCGCAGGCGGUUAUAUAAGACAGAUGUGAAAUCCCCGGGCUCAACCUGGGAACUGCAUUUGUGACUGUAUAGCUAGAGUACGGCAGAGGGGGAUGGAAUUCCGCGUGUAGCAGUGAAAUGCGUAGAUAUGCGGAGGAACACCGAUGGCGAAGGCAAUCCCCUGGGCCUGUACUGACGCUCAUGCACGAAAGCGUGGGGAGCAAACAGGAUUAGAUACCCCGGUAGUCC